rnacentral:rRNA from 1 species
UACGUUGGGUGCAAGCGUUAAUCGGAAUUACUGGGCGUAAAGCGUGCGCAGGGGGUUGUGUAAGACAGAUGUGAAAUCCCCGGGCUCAACCUGGGAACUGCAUUUGUGACUGCACAGCUGGAGUGCGGCAGAGGGGGAUGGAAUUCCGCGUGUAGCAGUGAAAUGCGUAGAUAUGCGGAGGAACACCGAUGGCGAAGGCAAUCCCCUGGGCCUGCACUGACGCUCAUGCACGAAAGCGUGGGGAGCAAACAGG